CAAAGCGCUGUGCCCAGGAGGAAGGCCAGUUCAGAAAACCUGAGUAGAUUUAGUGUAGCUGGACAGCAGAUUCAAGCAGAAGAGUGCGGCAUGUGCCACAAGUAGGUGGCGGCGACUGUAGGAGAAGGGAUUUGGAUCCGGAAGCUAGUGAGGGCGUUUGAGCAGUGGAAGGAAGUGCAAGGAAUGCUGUGAGGCGUGGAAAGAUGAUCUGGAGGAGACAGACAGGUAAGCAGCAAGAUGUGGCCUUCCUGGACCUCUCUGUCAUUAUGCAGAGAACGACCAGGGACAUGUCCAAGAUGCACCUUCUAAUGAGAUAUGUGAGCUUGGGAGCAUGAAGCCGCCAGCGAACGUUCCCUGGAGGCCACUGGGUGAGCUGCUUGGCAGAUGCUGGGGUGACGGUUGAGGAGGGGAUGAGAGAGGGUGGCAUUUGCAAAGAAGAUGUGAUCCCUGCUCUCAGAGAAUUUCUAAUCUAGCUUGGGAGGCCAAGUACCAAAGAAGCCCCAACAGCUGGUAGCCAGGGGCAGUGUGUGUGGAGAGAGGGAUGUUGGGGGCAGGGAGGGAGGCUAGGGAAGCUCUGACCACAGAACCAUCCCUAGAGCAGGACAAGGAGACCAUCCCUCACCAGCAGAGUUCCUGCAGAAUCCCUCAUCCCCAUGAAAGAAAGGCAGCUACCUUGCUUACCUGUACCCGGAACGGGUGUCUUCACAGCCAUAUACAUAGGGCCUCAUCCCCAUCCCCCAUUUCUUCUUUCCCACCCUUCCAGAAGAAAGAACUGUUUGGCCUGAAGGUAGAAACACCAGGUGGGUAAUCAAAUGAUUAAAAGCAUUUCUAGGAUACAGAGGUAAGGCAGGUGAUGAAACCUGUUCCACCAAACUCAGGGCCUUGAGGCAGGCUUUGAACCAGGUGGAAGACACCCAGGUUUAGUUCUUCUGGCUACUCAGGUAGCAGUGUGAUUCAGAGCCAAUAAUUUCUCAGCUCAUCUAUCACCAAGGGGGUUGGACCCCCUAAUUGAUUGAUUGACAAUUAAAUAUUUUUAUUGUGGCAAAAUAUUCAUACUAUAAAAAUUUCCAUUUUAACCUUUUUUUUGUGUGUGUGGUAUGCGGGCCUCUCACUGUUGUGGCCUCUCCCGUUGUGGAGCACAGGCUCCAGACGCGCAGGCUCAGCGGCCAUGGCUGACGGGCCCAGCCGCUCCGCAGCAUGUGGGAUCUUCCCGGACCGGGGCACGAACCCGUGUCCCCUGCAUCGGCAGGCGGACUCUCAACCACUGCGCCACCAGGGAAGCCCAAUUUUAACCAUUUUUAAGUGUACAGUUCAGUAGCAUUAAGUACUUCUACAUUGCUGUGCAACCAUCACCACAAUCCAUCUCUAGAAUUUUUUCAUCAUCCCAAACGGAAAUUCCAUAACCAUUUAAACAGUAACUCCCUGUUACUCCCCUCCCCCGACUCCCUAAUAACCACUUCUCUACUCCGUCACUACAUAUUUGACUACUCUGGGGACUUCAUCUAAGUGAAAUCAUACAAUAUUUGUCCCUUUGUGUUUGGCUUAUUUCACACAACAUAAUGUUUUCAAGGUUCAUCCAUGUUGUAGCAUGUGUCAGCGUUUCAUUCCUUUGUAAGGCUGAAUACAAUUCCAUUGCAUGUAUAUACCACAUCUUCUUUAUCCAUUCAUCUAUAAGUGGACACUUGGGUUGCUUCCAAAUUCUGGCUAUUGUGAAUAAUGCUACUAUGAACAUGGGUGUACAAAUAUCUCUUCCAGUUCCUGCUCUCGAUUUUUAUAUAUAUAUAUAUAUAUAUAUAUACCCCAAAGUGGAAUUGCUGGUUGAUAAUUCUGUGUUUGAUUUUUUUGAGGACCCACCGUAGUGUUUUCCAUAGUGGCUGCUCCAUUGCUACAUUCCCAAAGGUUCCAAUUUUUCCACAUCUGCACCAAAACUUGUUUUCUGUUUUUUUCUGACAAUAGCCAUCCUAAAGGGUGUGAAGUAGUAUCUCAUUGUAGUUUUGAUUUGCAUUUCCCUAAUGAUUAGUGAUGUUAAAUAUCUUUUCAUGUGCUUAUUGGCCAUUUGUAUAUCUUCUUUGGAGAAAUAUCUAUUCUGGUCCUUUGCCCAUUUUUGCAUUGGGUUGUUUUGGUUUUGGUUAUUACGGUUUAGGAGUUCUUUCUAUAUUCUGGAUAUUAAUAACUUAUUAAAUAUAUGAUGUGCAAAUAUUUUCUCCCAUUCUGUGGGUUGCUUUUUAGUACUCUGUUGAUGGUUUCCUUUGGUCCACAAAAGUUUUUAAUUUUGAUGAAGUCCAAAUUGUCUAUUUUUUAUUUUGUUGCCUAUGUCUUUGCUGUCCUAUUCAAGAAAUCAUUGCCAAAUCCAGUCUUAAAGCUUUUCACUUAUGUUUUCUUCUAAGAGUUUUAUAGUUCUAGCUCUUAUGUUUACAUUUAAUCCAUUUUGAGUUAAUUUCAUUUAUGGUCUUAGAUAAAGGCCCAACUUCAUUCUUUUGCAUGUGGAAUCCAGUUUCCCUAGCACCAUUUGCUCAAUCCCUGAUGUCUAAGAUCCUGUAUCAGUUAGGAAUUUUGUUUAGCUUCAAGAAAUAGAAGCUGCAGUAGCUUAAACACAGACAUUUUUAUUAUUUCACAUAGGAGAAGUCCAUGGGUAGGCUGUGCUCAGCUACUGAGAAGGUUCCAUGGGGAUCUAGGCUUCUUCUAUCUUUCUAUUCCACCAUGCAUGACUCCCAUUCUAGGUCCACUAUGGCUGCUGGAACUCCAGCCAAUAUCUGAGAGUUCCAAGCAGCAGGAAGGAGGAAGAGGGAGGGAUAAAAGAGUACCACUUCCUUUAAGGAGCCUAAGUCCUGAACAAUUCCUUAAAAUCUCAUUGGCCAGGUCUUUUUUUUUCCCCCCAAAAGAGCAAAGUUUAUUUCUCUGAUCACAUUCCUUAUAAUGAUGUACAUUGCUACGAACUUCAUUUCUUUGUUCUUUCUGUCUGUGUUCAUUAUAACAAUGUGCCUAUAUUGCUUAUUAUGUUUCAGGCAUUCAUCUUGACAUUUAUGAAUAUUCUGCUUAAUCGUCAUAAUAAUUCUAUAAGGGUAGGUACUAUUAUUUUUCCACUGUGUCGUUGGCCAGAUCUUAAUCACGCAGCUGCAAAGGAGUCUGGGAAAUACAGACUUUUCUCUGGGUACAGUGCCAUCUCAAAUAAAAUCAGGACACUCUUACCAAGGAGAAAAGGGAGAAGGAAUGCUGGCUUAAAUAUUCAGAAGCCUCUGCUUUGGGCACCUCAUCCAUCUGUAAUUCUGUGGCAAUUUGUCUCUUGGAGAAGAAAAUGAGAAAAUGGUUGCAAAGUGCUCAACAAAAUGCUUUGCUCAGGCUGUGUACUCAAAACAUGCUAGCUGGGGCUUCCCUGAUGGUGCAGUGGUUAAGAAUCCACCUGCCAAUGCAGGGGACACAGGUUCGAUCCCUGGUCGGGGGAGAUCCCACCUGCUGCAGAGCAACUAAGCCCGUGCUCCACAACCACUGAGCCUGUGCUCUAGAGCCCGCAAGCCACAACUACUGAGCCCACGAGCCACAACCACUGAAGCCCGCGUGCCUAGAGCCCAUGCUCUGCAACAAGAGAAGCCACCGCAAUGAGAAGCCCGUGCACCGCAACAAAGAGUAGCCUCCACGGGCUGCAACUAGAGAAAGCCCGCGUGCAGCAACAAAGACCCAACGCAGACAAAAAUAAAUAAGUAAAUUUAUUUUAUUUA